rnacentral:tRNA from 1 species
GGAGAGAUGACCGAGUGGCUGAAGGUGGCGGCCUGCUAAGCCGUUGUAUGGGUGUUAGCCUGUACCCCGGGUUCGAAUCCCGGUCUCUCCGCCA